rnacentral:rRNA from 1 species
UAGGGAAUCUUCGGCAAUGGACGAAAGUCUGACCGAGCAACGCCGCGUGAGUGAAGAAGGCUUUCGGAUCGUAAAACUCUGUUGUUAGAGAAGAACAAGGACGUUAGUAACUGAACGUCCCCUGACGGUAUCUAACCAGAAAGCCACGGCUAACUACGUGCCAGCAGCCGCGGUAAUACGUAGGUGGCAAGCGUUGUCCGGAUUUAUUGGGCGUAAAGCGAGCGCAGGCGGUUUCUUAAGUCUGAUGUGAAAGCCCCCGGCUCAACCGGGGAGGGUCAUUGGAAACUGGGAGACUUGAGUGCAGAAGAGGGGAGUGGAAUUCCAUGUGUAGCGGUGAAAUGCGUAGAUAUAUGGAGGAACACCAGUGGCGAAGGCGGCUCUCUGGUCUGUAACUGACGCUGAGGCUCGAAAGCGUGGGGAGCAAACAGG